UGGGGAAUAUUGCACAAUGGGCGCAAGCCUGAUGCAGCGACGCCGCGUGAGGGAUGGAGGCCUUCGGGUUGUAAACCUCUUUCGCCAGUGAAGCAGGCCUGUCCCUUUUGUGGGUGGGUUGACGGUAGCUGGAUAAGAAGCGCCGGCUAACUACGUGCCAGCAGCCGCGGUAAUACGUAGGGCGCGAGCGUUGUCCGGAAUUAUUGGGCGUAAAGAGCUUGUAGGCGGUUGGUCGCGUCUGCUGUGAAAGGCCGGGGCUUAACUCCGGUUUUGCAGUGGGUACGGGCUAACUAGAGUGCAGUAGGGGAGACUGGAAUUCCUGGUGUAGCGGUGGAAUGCACAGAUAUCAGGAGGAACACCGAUGGCGAAGGCAGGUCUCUGGGCUGUAACUGACGCUGAGAAGCGAAAGCAUGGGGAGCGAACAGGAUUAGAUACCCUGGUAGUCCAUGCCGUAAACGUUGGGCACUAGGUGUGGGGGACAUUCCACGUUUUCCGCGCCGUAGCUAACGCAUUAAGUGCCCCGCCUGGGGAGUACGGCCGCAAGGCUA
rnacentral:rRNA from 1 species